UGGUUUUGCUGUUAUCGUACCUAAACAUAUCGACGUGAAAAUGAACUUCAAGCUUUUCAUCCUCCUCGUUGCAGCAUUGCUGGCUAUGGCCCAUUACACCCAUGCGGUUGAUGCGGAUGCUGAGAACGUGGAGAAACAGGAAUUCAAGAGGCAAUACCAGAAUAAUCAGAACAAGCGAGAGGCCAUGAUUCCACCAAUGUGUGUCACCGAUCCAUGCCCAUGAUCAACGACUGGUAAUUAAUCAAAUUCUUCUUUACCUGAACUUACGAAAAAUUUGAAUAAAAUGUUAAGACCUGA